rnacentral:rRNA from 1 species
AAGCUCGUAGUUGAAUUUCGGGAUUAGUACGUCGGUCGUGCCUUAGGUACGUACUGGUAUUACUGGUUCCUACCUUCUGACGAACCAUCAUGUCAUUAAUUUGGUAUGGUGGGGAAUCAGGACUGUUACUUUGAAAAAAUUAGAGUGUUUAAAGCAGGCUCGCGCUUGAAUACAUUAGCAUGGAAUAAUGAAAUAGGACGUUGAUCCUAUUUUGUUGGUUUCUAGGAUUGACGUAAUGAUUAAUAGGGAUAGUUGGG